AUACGGAGGAUGCGAGCGUUAUCCGGAUUUAUUGGGUCUAAAGGGUCCGUAGCCGGUUUGGUCAGUCCUCCGGGAAAUCUGAUAGCUCAACUAUUAGGCUUUCGGGGGAUACUGCCAGACUUGGAACCGGGAGAGGUAAGAGGUACUACAGGGGUAGGAGUGAAAUCUUGUAAUCCCUGUGGGACCACCUGUGGCGAAGGCGUCUUACCAGAACGGGUUCGACGGUGAGGGACGAAAGCUGGGGGCACGAACCGGAUUAGAUACCCGGGUAGUCCCAGCCGUAAACGAUGCUCGCUAGGUGUCAGGCAUGGCGCGACCGUGUCUGGUGCCGCAGGGAAGCCGUGAAGCGAGCCACCUGGGAAGUACGGCCGCAAGGCUGAAACUUAAAGGAAUUGGCGGGG
rnacentral:rRNA from 1 species